UCUUCGGAGAGUUUGAUCCUGGCUCAGGAUGAACGCUGGCGGCGUGCCUAAUACAUGCAAGUCGAGCGAAUUGAUUAGAAGCUUGCUUCUAUGACGUUAGCGGCGGACGGGUGAGUAACACGUGGGCAACCUGCCUGUAAGACUGGGAUAACUUCGGGAAACCGAAGCUAAUACCGGAUAGGAUCUUCUCCUUCAUGGGAGAUGAUUGAAAGAUGGUUUCGGCUAUCACUUACAGAUGGGCCCGCGGUGCAUUAGCUAGUUGGUGAGGUAACGGCUCACCAAGGCAACGAUGCAUAGCCGACCUGAGAGGGUGAUCGGCCACACUGGGACUGAGACACGGCCCAGACUCCUACGGGAGGCAGCAGUAGGGAAUCUUCCGCAAUGGACGAAAGUCUGACGGAG
rnacentral:rRNA from 1 species